GUUGCGGGGAAUGCUGACUGGUUCGAGACCAUUCAUUCAUAUGGACCUUAAAUGUGUUUUGAAUGAUUUCGGACCAGGCUUCAUUCCCCUCAAC
rfam:Gossypium raimondii Chr07_contig_269, whole genome shotgun sequence.